GGCCUCGUAGCUCAGCUGGUAGAGCGUGCGCUGUACAAAAGCGUAGACGGUGUUGAAGUGUGGGUUAGAACCCCACCGAGGCUA
rnacentral:tRNA from 1 species